GGAAUAAUGGGCAAUGGACGAGAGUCUGACCCAGCCAUGCCGCGUGCAGGGAGAAGGCCUUCUGGGUUGUAAACUGCUUUUGAUCGGGAACAAAAAGCCCUUGCGAGGGCCAUUGAGUGUACCGAUAGAAUACGCACCGGCUAACUCCGUGCCAGCAGCCGCGGUAAUACGGAGGGUGCAAGCGUUGUCCGGAUUUAUUGGGUUUAAAGGGUGCGUAGGCGGCCUUUUAAGUCAGUGGUGAAAUCCAUCAGCUCAACUGAUGAACUGCCAUUGAUACUGGAAGGCUUGAGUACAGACGAGGUAGGCGGAAUUGACAGUGUAGCGGUGAAAUGCAUAGAUAUUGUCAAGAACACCGAUUGCGAAGGCAGCUUACUAGGCUGUAACUGACGCUGAGGCACGAAAGUGCGGGGAUCAAAC
rnacentral:rRNA from 1 species